CACGUAGGCGGACCGGAAAGUUGGGGGUGAAAUCCCGGGGCUCAACCCCGGAACUGCCUUCAAAACUAUCGGUCUGGAGUUCGAGAGAGGUGAGUGGAAUUCCAAGUGUAGAGGUGAAAUUCGUAGAUAUUCGGAGGAACACCAGUGGCGAAGGCGGCUCACUGGCUCGAUACUGACGCUGAGGUGCGAAAGCGUGGGGAGCAAACA
rnacentral:rRNA from 1 species